rnacentral:rRNA from 1 species
CAGCCGUAAACUAUGCGCGUUAGGUGUAUCGGUGACCACGAGCUACCGAGGUGCCGAAGGGAAACCGUGAAACGUGCCGCCUGGGAAGUACGGUCGCAAGGCUGAAACUUAAAGGAAUUGGCGGGGGAGCACCACAACAGGUGGAGCCUGCGGUUUAAUUGGACUCAACGCCGGGAAGCUCACCGGAUAGGACAGCAGAAUGAUUGCCGGGCUGAAGACCCUGCAUGACUAGCUGAGAGGUGGUGCAUGGCG